rnacentral:tRNA from 1 species
GCCCUCGUAGUGCAAUUGGUAGGAGACAACGGGUUUAGAUUCCGUACAGUGUCAGUUCGAAUCUGACCGAGGGCACCA